rnacentral:rRNA from 1 species
UACGGAGGGAGCUAGCGUUGUUCGGAAUUACUGGGCGUAAAGCGCACGUAGGCGGCUUUGUAAGUCAGAGGUGAAAGCCUGGAGCUCAACUCCAGAACUGCCUUUGAGACUGCAUCGCUUGAAUCCAGGAGAGGUGAGUGGAAUUCCGAGUGUAGAGGUGAAAUUCGUAGAUAUUCGGAAGAACACCAGUGGCGAAGGCGGCUCACUGGACUGGUAUUGACGCUGAGGUG